GCCUGGGUCGCUCAGUCGGUUGAGCAUCUGACUUCAAUUCAGGUCAUGAUCUCGCAGCUCGUGGGUUCGAGCCCCGCAUCGGGCU
rnacentral:tRNA from 1 species